rnacentral:misc_RNA from 1 species
GUUCAAGCAUACAUUUUCAAAGACUACUGGGAGGACAUUGGAACAAUUAAAUCUUUCUAUAAUGCUAGCUUGGCGCUCACACAAGAGUUUCCAGAGUUCCAAUUUUACGAUCCAAAAACACCUUUUUACACAUCUCCUAGGUUCCUUCCACCAACCAAGAUAGACAAUUGCAAGAUUAAGGAUGCCAUAAUUUCUCAUGGAUGUUUUUUGCGAGAUUGCACUGUGGAACACUCCAUAGUGGGUGAAAGAUCGCGCUUAGACUGUGGUGUUGAACUGAAGGAUACUUUCAUGAUGGGAGCAGACUACUACCAAA